UACGGGGGGGGCAAGCGUUGUUCGGAGUUACUGGGCGUAAAGAGUGUGUAGGCGGUGCUCUAAGUUUGGUGUGAAAUCUCCCGGCUUAACUGGGAGGGUGCGCCGAAAACUGGAGUGCUUGAGUGUGGGAGAGGAAAGCGGAAUUCCUGGUGUAGCGGUGAAAUGCGUAGAUAUCAGGAGGAACACCUGUGGUGUAGACGGCUUUCUGGACCACUACUGACGCUGAGACACGAAAGCGUGGGGAGCAAACAGG
rnacentral:rRNA from 1 species